UGAGCCACUAAGUGCCAGAGGGCACGUCCACCAUGAGAGGAGGCCCUCCCGCUACGACCACCGCCGCUUUCUCCUCUGCGUCCAGAGAUUCUGACAACCGGAAGUCACUCGGUGCUCCCGGAAGAGGAAAUCCCGGAACAUUGACCCAGCUCCUUCCGCUAUCCGUUGCGGCGUCGGUUGCUGGGGUGACGAUUACUGGCGCAAAGUCGUACUUUCUGAACCUGAGCUUGCUUUCCAUCUGUUCUUGACUCUCUUCUCGUGGCACCCCCUGCUCAAGAUUCUGAGUGUUUUCAUAAUAGAACAUCGAGUCCUCCUUGGUUCUUACCUAUCUACCGUUACUGGUCUUAAUUUAAAAUGGAAGGAGGCAGCCCUGAUGCAAACUCUGCUUUUGGAAGAGAUGGUGCAUCCAUUUAAGCCAGAGGACUACAUGUGGAUUUGCAACUUCAGGAAGAUAUCUAGUCUUCGGCCCUCCUGGAAUGGGCCUUUCCAGGUUCUGCCGAUUAGUUAUACUGCCGUCAAGGUUACUGAGUAGAUCGACCUGAAUACAUCACAUCCAUGUGAAGCCUGCCAUGAUUCACCUCAGCUCAGCAGAGGAAGCAACCCCUGAUCAGCCCCUGAACCCAGUUAAGCUGAAAAAGGACCCUAACACCAACCCAUGGUUUUUGGCUGCUUGUUUGUUUGACCUGAUUGUUCAGUCAUUUUUCAGUCAUGUUUAACUCUUUGUGACCACAUUAGGGGUUUUCUUGACAAAGAUACUAGAAUGGUUUGCCACUUCUUUUUCUUGCUCAUUUUGCAGAUGAGGAAACUGAGGUAAACAGGAUUAAGUGACUUGUCCAUUGUCACACAGCUAGUAAGUGUCUGAGGCCAGAUUUGUACUCAGGAAGAUUAGUCUUCCUUACUCAAGGCUCAGCACUCUAUUCACUGUGCCACCUAGCUGCCCAUUGGAGUGGUUGGCCAUUUCCUUCUCUAGUGGAUUAAGGCAAACAGAAGUUAAGUGACUUGCCCAGAAUCACAAAUCUAUUAAAUGUCUGAGGCCAGAUUUGAACUCAGGUCUUCCUGACUACAAGCCCAGCACCCUAUUUACUGAGAUAACUAGCUAUCUUAAAAAAGUACCUGUUGUUGUUUAAUCAUUCAGUUGUGUUUGACUCUUCAUAACCCCAUGGACCAUAGCCAAGGGAUGGCUAUGGGAAAAUCCAUGGGAUUUUCUUGGCAAAGAUACUGGAAUGGUUUGUCAUUGGAUUAAGACAAACAAAGAUUAAGUGACUUGACCUGAUAAUUAGGACCUUGCUAUCUACUAUGCAUUUUCUGUUAGUGCUUUAUGCCCUGCUUUGCACCCUUGGGGCUGGGAGAACAGAAGAGCCCAACACUUAUGUGUAUCUGAUCCAACGUGCCAGCCAUGCUUUUAAUUGGACCAACUGCUGGAAAUGAGCACAUACCCCUUUGUCCUUGGGGAAGGGAUGCCCCUGGUGGGUAUAGAGGCAGAUAUUCAGAACUAAUGUGAUUAUUAUUUUGCAAUCAAUAAGGCAAACAUA
rnacentral:lncRNA from 1 species